GACGAACGCUGGCGGUGUGCUUCACACAUGCAAGUCGAACGAGGUAGCAAUACCUAGUGGCGGACGGGUGAGUAACGCGUGGGAAUCUGCCCAUAGGUGGGGGAUAACUAGCCGAAAGGUUAGCUAAUACCGCAUAUGCCGAAAGGUAAAAGGAGUAAUCCGCCUUUGGAUGAGCCCGCGUCCGAUUAGCUAGUUGGUAGAGUAAAAAGCCUACCAAGGCGACGAUCGGUAGCUGGUCUGAGAGGAUGAUCAGCCACAAUGGGACUGAGACACGGCCCAUACUCCUACGGAGGCAGCAGUGGGGGAAUUUACGUCAAUGGGGGAAACCCGUACGACGUAGCGACACCGCGUGAAUAGAAGAAGACCCUUUCGGGUGGUAAAUUACUGUCGGCGUGGGAAGGAAAAAAAAAUAAA
rnacentral:rRNA from 1 species